ACUGCUAAUUCAUGCCCCCAUGUCCAACAAACAUGGCUCUCUCA
rnacentral:tRNA from 1 species